rnacentral:rRNA from 1 species
UAACGCGUGGAGAACCUGCCGUAUACUGGGGGAUAACACUUAGAAAUAGGUGCUAAUACCGCAUAAGCGCACAGCUUCGCAUGAAGCAGUGUGGAAAACAAAAAGCUAAAGCUUUUGGUGGUAUACGAUGGAUCCGCGUCUGAUUAGCUAGUUGGCGGGGUAAAGGCCCACCAAGGCGACGAUCAGUAGCCGGCCUGAGAGGGUGAACGGCCACAUUGGGACUGAGACACGGCCCAAACUCCUACGGGAGGCAGCAG